rnacentral:lncRNA from 1 species
GUUGAAUGUGCAAAUAGACCCUUCCACAAAAACAUGCGGAUCCUCUUGCGGGUUGGGUCAGCGCGCGGGUUAAAGGGCGAAAUGACGUCGUUUUGGGCAUUUGAGGCCAGUCCCAAAACGACGUCGUUUUGGGGGCCUAUAAAGUUCAAAUUUUUGACAAAAAUUUCAUUCUUUUCCUUCUUCAAAAAAAAAACAAAAAAAAAUGCUCUCUCCCCCAUCUCUCUUAGCUUCUAGGCCG